rnacentral:snoRNA from 1 species
GUAUCCAUGGUGUGGGCAUUGUAGUAAAAGUGAUUUGAAGCGCUCCCAUACUUCAUGAAAGGAUUUAGUAUCCUUUUGAUAAAAGUUAGAAAUUUCAGCCCUUAAUUC